rnacentral:lncRNA from 1 species
AGGGUUCUGCCACACUGCUUUUUGAGUUCAGCCCACUAGCAUCUCUCAGUCUAUCUAGAAGUGAUUUCUUCCCUCUAUACAGACCCCUUCUCUGUCUUCUUCAGGGUCUCUGACUCCUGAGCACACAAAUGCCAAGCUCACGAGUCAUCUGUUUUGCCAAAAUUCUGUUCCGAUUUGAUAAACUCUAGCCAGGCCAGCUCACUCAGCAUGAUUCAGCCAGAGAGAAUAGCAAGGCCACAUGCCCGGCAUGCCGACCAGCUGAGCUCAGGCAGGAUGGGUGGUGUUCAGGAACCUCAGCCUGACAGAUGGCUCCACUCGGCUGUCUUCAUGGGCCUGGUGCCAGGUGCUGCAAUCACUCUCUGCAGGAGGGAGUUGUGGGAGCCUAGUUCUAGGGAGCAAAAUCGGAUGUACACAUUCAGCCUGCUGGCUUCAUUUAGGGACAUCUUUAGAACUUCCUGUAUAUUGAAUCAUGGCUGUGAUGGGUAUGGCUCUGAGGAUUAGAAUUGUCAUUCCCAUUC